GCCCCUGUGGUGCAAACGGUUAAGCCCUCAACUCCUAGCUGAAAGGUUGGUGGUUCAAACCCACUCAGGAGCA
rnacentral:tRNA from 1 species